rnacentral:lncRNA from 1 species
AUGGGGACGGCCGGGUGUCUGCCCUGGGAGGGGCCGUCACUUGCCGCUGGCUGCGGCUGUCACGUGCUCUCCUGGAGAGUCCCAUGCACUGGCAAGGGGCGGCCUGUGCUGCAGGCUCUGGUCACCGUAGUCACGAGUCGGGAGAGGGGGUGCCCGUGCGAGGGAAGCUCCUGGAACUUCGCUCUGGGGUCCCUGCUGUCGUGCAGCUCCUUCCCCCCGAGGAGGAGAGGGGAGUUGGGGGAGCAGGGCCCCCGGCAGCCCUGGAGAGGACGGUGCCCUCGCCCAUCGCGACGCCGGCUGCUCUGCACGCCCAGGCCCCACAGGAGGGAUGGCUGGGCAGAUGGACGGACAGACAGAGCUGACAGCCGCUGCCGGGGCUGCGGCGGGAGGGCGCGGUCUGGCUCAGGCGGCCGUCGCGGACAGCCGGGACAUGGUGGCCUCAGGACGCCUCACACGGCCCCUGUAGGCGCCCCGCGUGUCAUCCGCCAGCCCCGGGGCGGAGCUGCAUUGAGUGGAAGGCGCUGCCCCACGGGCUCCGGGUCUUGUCAUCCGGCCUGUCCUCGUGAUCCGGCUGGGCCGGGUCUUCCUUUUCCCCGUCUGGUGUGGUGGUUUGUUUACCUGAAGUACCAGGCGCUUGUUUGUUUCUGUUUGUAGGUUGCAGUAGGAUUUCCGCGACUCAGGUUGAUUUCAUUCCUUCAUUCAUUCACUCGCUCGCUGGUUCCUUCUUCAGUAAGUGGGACGUGAGCAGGUCCCAGGGCAGGACUGUGCAGAGGGGUCCCCGGUGGCGGCUCCAGGGGCACAGCCCCAUUAAUCGAGCCUCCCCCGUGUGAGGCCGUCGGCUUGUGUGCCGUGUCUGCAGGUGCGGAUGGUGCUGUGGCAGAUGCGCUUGUGGUGUUGGUGGUGUCCUCAGGGUGGAUUCUGGAAGGGGAGGCCGUGUCUGCAGGUGCGGAUGGUGCUGUGGCAGAUGCGCUUGUGGUGUUGGUGGUGUCCUCAGGGUGGAUUCUGGAAGGGGAGGCCGUGUCUGCAGGUGCGGAUGGUGCUGUGGCAGAUGCGCUUGUGGUGUUGGUGGUGUCCUCAGGGUGGAUUCUGGAAGGGGAGGCCGGGUCGAGAGGCGCGCACGUGUGUCUCCUUAGCCUCUGCCAAGUGCCCUUCCAGAGGGCGGGCUGGGUCCCCUCCCACGUGCAGCGUGGUCCCCACGGCCUCACGCAGGGCCCGCCGUUCUGUUGUAAACGUGCUUGCCACUCUGAGAGGUGAGAAAUGGGACCUCGGUGUGGCUGCCAUUAGCAUUUCCGAAAUGAUGAGUGAGGUUGAACACCGUUUAGUAGGUUAAAGGCCAUUUUAUGUCUUUUGUUUUUUCUUUAUCGCGGUAACAUUGGUUUACAACGUUAUAUACCUUUCGGAUGUACGUCGUGAUACGUUUCUAUUUCUGGGUGGAUUACGUCAUAUUCACCACCCAAAAACUAAUUAUAGUCCAUCCACUUGCAUGUGAGUCUAAUCACCCCUUUUGCCCUCCCCUCUUCCCGCUUCCCCUCUGGUAACCACCAAUCCAAUCUCUGUUGCUAUGUGUGUGUUUGUCGUAGUUUUUAUCUUCUACUUAUGAGUGAAGUCAUACAGUAUUCGACUUUCUCCCUCUGGCCUAUUUUACUCAGCAUAA